rnacentral:rRNA from 1 species
UACGGGGGAGCAAGCGUUGUUCGGAUUUACUGGGCGUAAAGGGCGCGUAGGCGGCCACCGCAAGUCAGUUGUGAAAUCUCUGGGCUUAACCCAGAAAGGUCAACUGAUACUGCGGGGCUAGAGUGCAGAAGGGGCAACUGGAAUUCUCGGUGUAGCGGUGAAAUGCGUAGAUAUCGAGAGGAACACCUGCGGCGAAGGCGGGUUGCUGGGCUGACACGUGACGCUGAAGCGCGAAAGCUAGGGGAGCGAACGGG